rnacentral:rRNA from 1 species
GGCGAAUGAAGAGGGAAAAGCCCAAAUUUGUAAUCUGGCUCUUUCAGAGUCCGAGUUGUAAUUUUAAGAACUGUUUUCAGUGCUGGACCAUGUACAAGUCUUCUGAAAAGAAGCAUCAUAGAAGGUGAUAAUCCUGUUCAUGAUAUGGACUACCAGUGCAAUAUGAUACAGUCUCUAAGAGUCGAGUUGUUUGGGAAUGCAGCUCAAAGUGGGUGGUAAAUUCCAUCUAAGGCUAAAUAUUGAUGAGAGACCGAUAGCAAACAAGUACCGUGAGGGAAAGAUGAAAAGAACUUUGGAAAGAGAGUUAACAGUACGUGAAAUUGUUAAAAGGGAAACAAUUGAAGUUAGACUUGUUAUUAAUAGUUCAACCUUUUUUUUUAAAAAGGAGUAUUCUAUUGAUUAACAGACCAACAUCAAUUUUUGGGUGUUGGAUAAGGGUUUAAGGAAAUGUAGCAGUUUUUGACUGUGUUAUAUUCCUUUUGAGCUUUGAUACAAUGCUUAAGAUUGAGGAAUG